CGCGUACCUCUCCCCUCUCUCUCUCCCCCCUUUUUCUGCCUGUUUCCCCAUUUUUAGUGGCUCGAUCCUUGGGAGCGGUGCUGGAGUGUUUAAAAAGAUCAUAUGUAGCAUUAUAUUUUUAGUUUGGUGGUGGAUGGAUGGAAGAGGUAGUGAGAAGCCUUUGCAGCCCUGCCUGUUGUUGGUUAGAUUGAGGCAGAGACUUGGCUGCGAUUGGGACGCGACUGUGACAUGGGCAUCGAUCGCUUCCAUUGAGAGCAAUGCAAAAACACAGCCUGGAAGAUGCUUCUGAAGAAUUUCACAGUAGGCAGAUGAAGGAUGACCUCUUGUAUGUGCCUGCCUUGCAAUGAUUGCAAAUACAAAUUUUUUAGAUCUCUGAAGAACCUGGUUUAAUUUCCCUCACAAUUUUGUUUGUUUUUCACAUUCAUUAUAAAAACUCCUGAUAGCU
rnacentral:lncRNA from 7 species